rnacentral:lncRNA from 1 species
AAUGGCCUCCCUCCAGGAGCAAGCAAAGAAGGCGAGUAACCUCUCCCAAGUCACAGAGACAAAGAAAAUAAAUUUGAAGAAAAGCCAUGAAGAUAGAUAUUUUGCAGAUACAUAGAGAUCGACAGAGACACACUAGAAGUAAGAAAAACCCUUUAACUGGAAGGCUUGAUGAUGAAAACUCUGGAAGGCAGGUGCUGCUCUUUGCCACAGAAGGAAGACUGGCUCUGGUAUUAUUUGAUCCAGCUGCAACAAAUAACCAAAAUGAAGAUAUAUAAUCAUUUGUUGAUAUGAUAGAGAAUGUUUACUGAAAGCAAAAUCAAAAGCUGAUCUAUUUCUUCUUUCUCUGGAUAUGGAGAGAUUUCAUUUCCUUGCUUCAAGUGAAUAUCUUGUAUUAGAUGAAACACAUCACUGAGUUCUAUCUACUAGAAUGGGAGGGGAAGUGAUCUGUCUGCUCAAUGGGG